UACGUAGGUGGCAAGCGUUGUUCGGAAUUACUGGGCGUAAAGGGCGCGUAGGCGGCCCGCUAAGUCGAACGUGAAAUCCCCAGGCUCAACCUGGGAACUGCGUCCGAUACUGGCAGGCUUGAAUCCGGGAGAGGGAUGUGGAAUUCCAGGUGUAGCGGUGAAAUGCGUAGAUAUCUGGAGGAACACCGGUGGCGAAGGCGGCAUCCUGGACCGGUAUUGACGCUGAGGCGCGAAAGCUAGGGGAGCAAACGGG
rnacentral:rRNA from 1 species